rnacentral:rRNA from 2 species
ACAGGAUUAGAUACCCUGGUAGUCCACGCCGUAAACGUUGGGAACUAGGUGUUGGCGACAUUCCACGUCGUCGGUGCCGCAGCUAACGCAUUAAGUUCCCCGCCUGGGGAGUACGGCCGCAAGGCUAAAACUCAAAGGAAUUGACGGGGGCCCGCACAAGCAGCGGAGCAUGUGGCUUAAUUCGACGCAACGCGAAGAACCUUACCAAGGCUUGACAUAUGCCGGAAACAUCCAGAGAUGGGUGCCCCCUUGUGGUCGGUAUACAGGUGGUGCAUGGUUGUCGUCAGCUCGUGUCGUGAGAUGUUGGGUUAAGUCCCGCAACGAGCGCAACCCUUGUUCUGUGUUGCCAGCAUGCCUUUCGGGGUGAUGGGGACUCACAGGAGACUGCCGGGGUCAACUCGGAGGAAGGUGGGGACGACGUCAAAUCAUCAUGCCCCUUAUGUCUUGGGCUGCACACGUGCUACAAUGGUCGGUACAAAGGGCUGCGAUGCCGCGAGGCGGAGCGAAUCCCAAAAAGCCGGCCUCAGUUCGGAUUGGGGUCUGCAACUCGACCCCAUGAAG